rnacentral:rRNA from 1 species
AGUGAACGCUGGCGGCAGGCCUAACACAUGCAAGUCGAGCGGCAGCGGGUCCUUCGGGAUGCCGGCGAGCGGCGGACGGGGGAGGAAUACAUCGGAAUCUGCCCUGUCGUGGGGGAUAACCUAGGGAAACUUAGGCUAAUACCGCAUACGACCUACGGGUGAAAGCGGGGGAUCGCAAGACCUCGCGCGACAGGAUGAGCCGAUGUCCGACUAGCUAGUUGGUGGGGUAAGGGCCCACCAAGGCGACGAUCGGUAGCUGGUCUGAGAGGCUGAUCGGCCACACUGGGACUGGGACACGGCCCAGACUCCUACGGGAGGCAGCAGUGGGGAAUAUUGGGCAAUGGGCGCAAGCCUGAUCCAGUCAUGCCGCGUGGGUGAAGAAGGCCUUCGGGUUGUAAAGCCCUUUUGUCCGGGAAGAAAUCGUCUGGGCUGAUACCACGGGCGGAUGACGGUACCGGAAGAAUAAGCACCGGCUAACUUCGUG